CCUAGUUCUAACCAUAAACGAUGCCAGCCAGCGAUCCGCCGAAGUUCCUCCGAUGACUCGGCGGGCAGCUUCCGGGAAACCAAAGCUUUUGGGUUCCGGGGGAAGUAUGGUUGCAAAGCUGAAACUUAAAGGAAUUGACGGAAGGGCACCACCAGGAGUGGAGCCUGCGGCUUAAUUUGACUCAACACGGGAAACCUCACCAGGCCCGGACACCGGAAGGAUUGACAGAUUGAGAGCUCUUUCUUGAUUCGGUGGGUGGUGGUGCAUGGCCGUUCUUAGUUGGUGGAGCGAUUUGUCUGGUUAAUUCCGGUAACGAACGAGACUCUAGCCUGCUAAAUAGACGAUUUCCGGUAUCCACAAUAGUGCUACCGGCGAAAUCAAUAUCUUCUUAGAGGGACAGGCGGCUUUCAGCCGCACGAAACUGAGCAAUAACAGGUCUGUGAUGCCCUUAGAUGUCCUGGGCCGCACGCGCGCUACACUGAAGGAAUCAGCGUGUCUACCCUGGCCGAAAGGCUCGGGCAACCCGUUGAACCUCCUUCGUGCUAGGGAUUGGGGCUUGCAAUUGUUCCCCAUGAACGAGGAAUUCCCAGUAAGCGCGAGUCAUAAGCUCGCGUUGAUUACGUCCCUGCCCUUUGUACACACCGCCCGUCGCUACUACCGAUUGAAUGAUUUAGUGAGGUCUUCGGACUGGUGCGCGGCGACCGCCUGCGCGGCCGCCGAUGCCACCGGGAAGAUG
rnacentral:rRNA from 1 species